rnacentral:rRNA from 1 species
CCUUGAUGGCGACCGGCGCACGGGUGAGUAACGCGUAUGCAACCUGCCCGAUACCGGGGGAUAGCCCAUGGAAACGUGGAUUAACACCCCAUAGUACUUUUAUCCUGCCUGGGAUGGGAGUUAAAUGUUCAAGGUAUCGGAUGGGCAUGCGUCCUAUUAGUUAGUUGGCGGGGUAACAGCCCACCAAGACGAUGAUAGGUAGGGGUUCUGAGAGGAAGGUCCCCCACAUUGGAACUGAGACACGGUCCAA